rnacentral:rRNA from 1 species
GUGGGGAAUUUUGGACAAUGGGCGCAAGCCUGAUCCAGCAAUGCCGCGUGCAGGAAGAAGGCCUUCGGGUUGUAAACUGCUUUUGUACGGAACGAAACGGUCCGGGUUAAUACCCUGGGCUAAUGACGGUACCGUAAGAAUAAGCACCGGCUAACUACGUGCCAGCAGCCGCGGUAAUACGUAGGGUGCAAGCGUUAAUCGGAAUUACUGGGCGUAAAGCGUGCGCAGGCGGUUUUGUAAGACAGUCGUGAAAUCCCCGGGCUCAACCUGGGAAUGGCGCUUGUGACUGCAAGGCUGGAGUGCGGCAGAGGGGGAUGGAAUUCCGCGUGUAGCAGUGAAAUGCGUAGAUAUGCGGAGGAACACCGAUGGCGAAGGCAAUCCCCUGGGCCUGCACUGACGCUCAUGCACGAAAGCGUGGGGAGCAAACAGGAUUAGAUACCCUGGUAGUCC